rnacentral:rRNA from 1 species
CCUACGGGUGGCAGCAGUGAGGAAUAUUGGUCAAUGGGCGUAAGCCUGAACCAGCCAAGUCGCGUGAGGGAUGAAGGUUCUAUGGAUCGUAGACCUCUUUUAUAAGGGUAUAAAGUGCGGGACGUGUCCCGUUUUGUAUGUACCUUAUGAAUAAGGAUCGGCUAACUCAGUUCCAGCCGCCGCGGUAAUACGGCGGAUACGAGCGUUAUCCGGAUUUGUUGGGGUUAAAGGGUUAGUAGGCGGCCUGUUAGGUCAGCGGGGAAAGGCUGUGGCUCAACCAUAGAAUUGCCGUUGAAACUGGGAGGCUUGAGUAUGUUUGAGGCAGGCGGAAGUCGUGGUGUAGCGGUGAAAUGCUUAGAUAUCACGCAGAACCCCGAUUGCGAAGGCAGCCUGCCAAGCCAUGACUGACGCUGAUGCACGAAAGCGUGGGGAUCAAACAGGAUUAGAUACCCGUGUAGUC